GUGGUGCCCGGUCCCAUCGACCGCCCAAGGGUUGAGAAGUAAGGGCAGGAGGCGCGGGAUUGGCCGACAGCUCUGGCAGCAGCCGGGUGUGAGAUCCACUAGGAUGCUUCCUGCCCUCGAACAUCAGACUUCAAGUUCUUCAGCUUUUGGACUCACGGACUUACACCAAUCAUUUUUCGGGUCUCUUGGGCUUUCAGCCACAGACUGAAGUCUGCACUGUCAGCUUCCCUACUUGUGAAGUUUUGGGACUCGGACUGGCUUUCUUGCUUCUCAACAUGCAGAUGGCCUAUUGUGGGACUUUACCUUCUAAUUAUGUUAGAUUUUUAUCUCCUUGGAAGGCGGAGUACAGACCAAGAGAUGUGAGGAAUAACACCGGUCAAUUUUUAUGA
rnacentral:lncRNA from 1 species